GGCUCAGAACGAGCGCUGGCGGCGCGCCUUAUACAUGCAAGUCGAGCGAGAAGGUGUAGCAAUACACUUGUAAAGCGGCGAACGGGUGAGGAAUACAUGGGUAACCUACCCUCGAGUGGGGAAUAACCAGCCGUAAGGUUGGCUAAUACCGCGUACGCCUCCCGGUCUUCGGUUCCGGAGGGAAAGCCAUACCGUGGGUGUCGCGCUCCUGGAUGGGCUCAUGCCCUAUCAGCUUGUUGGUGAGGUAACGGCCCACCAAGGCUUCGACGGGUAGCUGAUCUGAGAGGACGAUCAGCCACACUGGCACUGCGACACGGGCCAGACUCCUACGGGAGGCAGCAGUAAGGAAUAUUGCGCAAUGGACGAAAGUCUGACGCAGCGACGCCGCGUGGGGGAUGAAGGUCUUCGGAUUGUAAACCCCUUUCGGGAGGGAAGAUGGAACGGGUAACCACUUGGACGGUACCUCCAGAAGCAGCCACGGCUAACUUCGUGCCAGCAGCCGCGGUAAUACGAAGGUGGCAAGCGUUGUUCGGAUUCACUGGGCGUACAGGGAGCGUAGGCGGUUGGGUAAGCCCUCUGUGAAAUCUCCGGGCCUAACCUGGAAAGUGCAGAGGGGACUGCUCGGCUAGAGGACGGGAGAGGAGCGCGGAAUUCCCGGUGUAGCGGUGAAAUGCGUAGAGA
rnacentral:rRNA from 1 species